rnacentral:lncRNA from 1 species
UACAAUUUCUUGUUAUUCCCUCGUCGUAUAUUGGACAUCUUAUUAUUUCUAUUAUUAUACACUACGGCUUCAAAUAGAGAGUUUGGAAUACAAGGCAUAACCAGGGGGAAAUGAGCUUGUGAUGGAGGAAUUGAAUCAUAAGACGGAAUCCCUUCCUAGUUUUCUCAAUAUCUUCAGUUACACCUAGUCAGUAUACAAAUGAGGAAUCAUUGGUUAUCAUAGUAAAUACACCUUGAUGAGCUACAUGAAGUAUCGGUAACACCUGAGCACGGAGUUAUUUAGGUGAGAUCUAUAAUUCACCAACGCCAUCACUAUAUCUUCUUCUACUGUUGUUGUGGUAUCCGCUUUUUCUCCAGUAGGAUAUCGAAAUGAUGUGUCGGCAACUGUAUUUAUCUUACCCAGGAGAUGCAUAAUUUAGAAAUUUACAAGAGAGUCCGUUGUUUUAGUCGAAACAGUCGCAUAUUCGGAAUUUCAUCUAAACUUCGAUCUCCCGACAACUUAACAAAUGGCUUGUGGUCUGAAGUGAUAACCAAGACCUCUGCAAGAGCAAUCUGUCCUAAGGCAGUUUACUCUGACCUAAUAUUUGAGUUCCUUCUUUCAUUUUUUCUAUAACUAGAUUUUUGCCUUUUCAAAAUCUUCGUUCAGUACACUUUUCCAUACAAACAAAGUAAGUCUAAACUGUCAUGAAAUAUUGGUUUUAGAUUUGGUAGAUGGAAAGGAUAGGAUGGCAUCAAUAUACUUACACCAGGUUCAACCCAGUUAUCAGAAAUUCUAAAUCCAGCUAAAUCAACAAAAUUGAAACUUUUUCUAGUUGAGAACAACACCUGAUCUUUCUAUAUGUUCCAAAAAUUCAAUUAUCCUCCACCAAUGACUUACUAACAGUUCUUCGUAGAGUGAAGUAUCGUCUUCACAACGCAUUUUUCUCACCACAUCAACCAUAGUUUCAUCAAGACAGCUAUUGUAACCAUUUUGACUCGAUAAGGAUCCCUGUGGGGACUUUGUUUACCGAAAUCUUCCCAAUAGUAAAAUUAGUAAUCAUGUGUUAGUCAAUUCUUCUCGGGAUACUAUGAAACCCAGUCCAAGCGUCUGUGACAGUCUUUUAGGAUCCACAAGGAAUUGCUAGAGCCAUUUGAAAUGGAGAUUUCAUUGCAUGUGCUUCCCUCUUGCUAGGAUUAUUUAAUAUCCAUAUUUAAAAAAUUAUUUUCUUUCCACUUAGCACCAGUAUCUGCAACCACUUCCACUAUUACGGGAUACAUUAAAGUGUACUUAACUCUAGAUUUAUUUAUCCGACUCUACGUUGAACAACUUCACCAGUAACUUUAGUUGAUCUUAAGGUUGUCCUUUUACCCAAUGCAAGAUGCCUCUCUGAUGCAUGUAGUGUUGAAACUUGAAACUCACUACCUUCAAUCGAUAUAUUAAAUGCAAUUGUAUGUUUGUGUGUCCAGGAAUCACGGUCAAACUAAUGAAUUGAUUUUACUCAAAACUUUUAUAUAGUUUUUUAAGGCACAAGAUAUUGUUCAGGUAACAAUUUGUUGUUCUUUAAUGGCAUGUCGGCCUUUAAAUAGAAUUUUCCUAAAAACCAACUUUUUGAUUUACAAUCGUCUAUUUUUUUUUUUAACCCAAACAUAAAGAGGUCAAAUUUUAAGCAUGAUUCUUGCAUGUUAUUAUGUACCUUUGUGCACUUUUUUUAAAGGAGAUUAUAAGAUUUAGAGAAGAGGAAAUAAGAUAAAGGAUUUUUGGCAAUAAUAUGAAAGAUGAGAGAGCAAUAGUUCAACUUGAAUAUUUUUUCUUCUCUAAACCUUAUAAUCUCCUUUAACACUUGAACGACGGAUUGUAACGACCAUGUAUAUAAGGUGUAUCGAUAAAAGAUUUAUUUGUUCUUGUUUAAAAUUGUAUUUGCUAUUUUGAUUACGUCAAAGCGGAGGAAAUAUAAAA